rnacentral:rRNA from 1 species
UACGUAGGGCGCAAGCGUUGUCCGGAUUUAUUGGGCGUAAAGCGCGUGCAGGCGGUUUCUUAAGUCUGGUGUGAAAGCUCACGGCUCAACCGUGAGGGGUCAUUGGAAACUGGGAGACUUGAGUGCAGAAGAGGAAAGUGGAAUUCCAUGUGUAGCGGUGAAAUGCGUAGAGAUAUGGAGGAACACCAGUGGCGAAGGCGACUUUCUGGUCUGCAACUGACACUGAGGCGCGAAAGCGUGGGGAGCAAACAGG